rnacentral:rRNA from 1 species
AGCGAACGCUGGCGGCAGGCUUAACACAUGCAAGUCGAACGCCCCGCAAGGGGAGUGGCAGACGGGUGAGUAACACGUGGGAACGUACCCUUUGGUUCGGAAUAACUUGGGGAAACUCAAGCUAAUACCGGAUAAGCCCUUAUGGGGAAAUGUUUACUGCCGAAGGAUCGGCCCGCGUCUGAUUAGCUAGUUGGUGAGGUAACGGCUCACCAAGGCGACGAUCAGUAGCUGGUCUGAGAGGAUGAUCAGCAACACUGGGACUGAGACACGGCCCAGACUCCUACGGGAGGCAGCAGUGGGGAAUAUUGGACAAUGGGGGCAACCAUGAUCCAGCCAUGCCGCGUGAGUGAUGAAGGCCUUAGGGUUGUAAAGCUCUUUUACCCGGGACGAUAAUGACUGUACCGGGAGAAUAAGCCCCGGCUAACUUCGUGCCAGCAGCCGCCGUAA